rnacentral:rRNA from 1 species
CUGGAGGACCGAACCGACUAAUGUUGAAAAAUUAGCGGAUGACUUGUGGCUGGGGGUGAAAGGCCAAUCAAACCGGGAGAUAGCUGGUUCUCCCCGAAAGCUAUUUAGGUAGCGCCUCGUGAACUCAUCUUCGGGGGUAGAGCACUGUUUCGGCUAGGGGGUCAUCCCGACUUACCAACCCGAUGCAAACUACGAAUACCGAAGAAUGUUAUCACGGGAGACACACGGCGGGUGCUAACGUCCGUCGUGAAGAGGGAAACAACCCAGACCGCCAGCUAAGGUCCCAAAGUCAUGGUUAAGUGGGAAACGAUGUGGGAAGGCACAGACAGCCAGGAUGUUGGCUUAGAAGCAGCCAUCAUUUAAAGAAAGCGUAAUAGCUCACUGGUCGAGUCGGCCUGCGCGGAAGAUGUAACGGGGCUAAACCAUGCACCGAAGCUGCGGCAGCGACACUAUGUGUUGUUGGGUAGGGGAGCGUUCUGUAAGCCUGCGAAGGUG